GGUGUGGUUACGGAGGUUACCCCAAGUCUGGCGGCAGUAGAAGCUCCAUGAAGGUUAGCUUUGGUCAUUUUUUGAUGGCGGAGGAGGACAGUCAGAUUCCCCUGGAAAUCGGGGAGACCUUCCUGGAGGAGGUGACGCGGCAGAAGGAUGAGCGGGAGAUAACCUGGGGGAAGUAAGGGUGUUGCAGGCGGGAAGGGUGGAGAGGAGGGCAGGGCUCAGCCCCGGGCUCUAGCUCCCCUGCCCCACCUUGGUGUGUCUCCCAGACCCCGUCCUGAGUCCACCUCCUCUUGGCUGCAGCCCCGUGGGGGCCAGUGACAAAGCUCCCCGCUGUGCUGGCCCCACACACCGUGCCCUGCCCGCCCAGGUCCCAGGAGCCAGCGGGGUGGGAGGCGCCAGGUGAGGCCGAAGGCUGGUCGGGAGGAGGCGGGCCUCAGCAUGAGCCUGUCUCAGCAUCUUCCUCCUCCAGCCUCAGGGGAUGCCCGGCCCAGUCUGGUGCCACAAAAAUUUGCCAAAGGCAGCUCUCCUCUCCACCCUGGCCCGUGCUGUGCUGGGCAUCUGGGGUGAACCCAUCUGGUGCUCACCCUCAAGGAGGGGAGAUGGUUGCCGGGCUGUGGAGGGAAGGACUGUGGCCAGAAGGUACAAAGUGCUGGAGGAGUGGGGAGGCAAUCAGGGAAGGCUUCCUGGGGGAGCGGCCCUGGAGCGGGUGGGGCCCCUGUGAGGAUGGUGGUGGGGCUGGGCCGGAUGCCCAGGCUCCGGGCAGGCAGCUGGAUUUGGUGGGGGGAAGAGGAGGAGGGAACUGGGGUCUGGGGAGCCCCCUCUGAGGUUCAGCUGGGCAGCGGGGCGAGGGCCGGGCCUGCGGGGCCCCCGGUGUCACCUGGCCUGCAGCUGAUGUUUGCUGAGCACACGCUGUGUGGGGCCAGGCCGUGCGCUCUUGCUCCCCACAGCCCCAUCUGAGGGAGGUGCGGUCAUCGUGGCCAUUUUCCAGAUGGGAAAACGGGCUCUGAAGAGCUAAGCAGCGUGCCGGGGCCUGGGGCCAGAAGCAGUUCCAUGGGUGUGAGGCCCCUCAUUGCAGACGCCAGCCUGCACCCCCCGCCCCCCCCCACCUCGCCGCAGCCGUCAGAGGCCCCGCCCCUGGCUGGGGGCCCAGCCCCACCCUUGCCCGUGGGGCCCACCCUGGCCCGGGCCCCCUGCCCACCAUCCUGAGCAGCACCUCUCAUGCCCACGUGCCAGCCGCUUCAGUGCCCUUUGCAGCCAGGGUCUGGCUCCACCCAGGGCUGUGGCCGGGCCGGUGGCCCCCCAGCCAGAGGACCUGGGGGCUCAGCGUGAAGCCAGCCAGUCCGAUGGUGGAGACAUGGGCAUGCCCUGUCUGACAGAGGCCAUUGGGGCAGUGGACGCACAAGGCAGGUCUGCCAGGUGAAGGCUCAUCAGCGUGUCCACCCACACGGGCACAGGGUUCCUCGCAAAGUGGGCGGACCAGUCUGACCAUCAGUCGGUUCCACUGCCCAGACUGGGCCGUGCUCACUGGCCAGUGAGGCCCCAGAGGUGGACUGCCUUUCUGCCCUGGCUGCAUGGCCUUCAGUUCCCGAAGCUAAGAAAAAGGAGAAAUCUUCAGUCACCUCUUCACCCCUCCUCCUGCUGCACUUGGCUCUCAUGGGGGCGGAAUGGUGGGACCACAGGGCUCCCUGAAACAGAAGGAGCUGCAUGUCCAAGCGUCAACCUCAUCAGUGUGAGCCCGACGGCAGGGAGUGGGGAGGAGCUAAAGAGCCCUGAUGCCAAAAGGCGAAGAACUAAAGAGCCGCCCGAUGAAGGUGAAAGAGGAGAGUGAAAAAGCUGGCUUACAACUCAGCGUUCAAAAAACUGAGAUCAUGAAAUCCGGUCCCAUGGCAAAUACUUGGGAAACAAUGGAAACAGUGAAAGACUUUAUUUUGGCUCCAAAAUCACUGCAGAUGGUGACUGCAGUCAUGAAAUUAAAGGACUCUCGCUCCUUGGGAAAAAAAGCUGUGACCAACCUAGACAGUGUAUUAAAAAGCAGAGACAUUGCUUUGCCAACAAAUGUCUGCCUAGUCAAAGCUAUGGUUCUUCCAAUAGUCACGUAUGGAUGUGAGAGUUGGACCAUAAAGGUUGAGUGCUGAAGAAUCGAUGCUUUUGAACUCUGGUGUUGGAGAAGACUGUUGAGAGUUCUUUGGACUGCAAGAUCAAACCAGUCAAUCCUAAAGGAAAUACUUAUUAGAAGGACUGAUGCUAAAGCUGAAGUUCCGGUACUUUGGCCACACGAUGUGAAGAGCCCACUCACUGGAAAAGACCCCGAUGCUGGGAAAGACUGAAGGCAGGAGGAGAAGGGGGUGACAGAGGAUGAGAUGGUUGGAUGGAAUCACCAACUCAAUGGACAUGAGUUUGAGCAAGCUCCGGGAGAUGGUGAAGGACAGGGAAGCCUGGUGUGCUGCCGUCCAUGGCGUCGCAAAGAGUCGGACACGACUGAGCAACUGAACUGCGGGACUGCCUUUCCCAUGAUUAACUCAGUCCAGAGGAUAACCACGAAUCUGUGCCCCAGCCCCGUGCCACCCGACAGCCACCCAGCAGAGGCUGUUCACCCAGCGCACGUGAGUGCUCGGAAGACUUGUUGGCAAGUAUCUCCCUCCUCCACCAGACCGUACACCAACAUCCCCCGUCCCCAUUGUGUCCCCAGGACAGUGGUGAACAAAUGAGCGAGUGAAGUGAAUGCCUGAAACACAGUCCCUCAAGGAGCCCCCAGUCAAAGAGAGAGAGACACGUAACCGUCACACAACUGGUGGAUUUGUACAGCUUAUUUAUUUUAUAUAUAAAUAUUUAAAUUUUA